UCCCACGAUAAUUUUUUAUAAUUUUCGUAUUUUAUUGUUUUAACUUGUUCUUUCUUUAUUUGCUUCUUUCUUUUUGUGCAGGUAUUUGAGUUGCUUUUUAUUUAUUUAGUUUUGAUUUUCUGUUUUUUUUUCAUUAGUUUUUAUCUUUCUUUUUUUACCUUUGUUUUAAAAUUCCAGAUUCUGUUCUAUUUUCCUUUAGAGUUUCCUUUUG
rnacentral:lncRNA from 1 species